CUUAAAGUUCUUCAUUUAUUUUUUUACCUUGAAGAAUAGGAAAUACUUUUUGAUCGAUCUAAAUAUAAAUUGGCUCAAUGCUGCCAUCCUUCCAAUCAAGCAUUGAACUUCUCUUUUGUUGGUUGGGUUCUUCCUCUCUAUAAGUGCUCAGAUUUUCUCCGAGCUCGCUUUAAUUCCCCUCUAGGUCACUAUGAAGCCUAAAAAUUUUCUAGAGUUCACUCUGAAAGCA
rnacentral:lncRNA from 1 species